rnacentral:rRNA from 1 species
GAUGAACGCUAGCGACAGGCUUAACACAUGCAAGUCGAGGGGCAGCGAGGGCGUAGCAAUACGCCUGUCGGCGACCGGCGCACUGGUGAGUAACACGUAUGCGACCUGCCCCCUACAGGGGUAUAACCCGUAGAAAUGCGGACUAAUCCCCCAUAGUCCUGGGUGCUGCAUGGCAUUCAGGGGGAAAGGGCCAGCCGGUAGGGGGAUGGGCAUGCGGCGCAUUAGCUAGUUGGCGGGGCAACGGCCCACCAAGGCGACGAUGCGUAGGGGUUCUGAGAGGAAGGUCCCCCACACUGGUACUGAGACACGGACCAGACUCCUACGGGAGGCAGCAGUGAGGAAUAUUGGUCAAUGGGCGGAAGCCUGAACCAGCCAAGUAGCGUGCAGGACGACGGCCCUAUGGGUUGUAAACUGCUUUUAUGCGGGGAUAAAGUGGGCCACGCGUGGCCUUUUGCAGGUACCGCAUGAAUAAGGACCGGCUAAUUCCGUGCCAGCAGCCG